GGCUCCUGGCAAAGUCCUGGGUCCGAAAUUCAGAUUUCCAACUGCACGAGAUCCAGUAUCACUUGCUGAACACUCACCUGGUGGCUGAGGUCAUCGCUGUCGCCACCAUGCGGUGCCUCCCAGGACUGCACCCCAUCUUCAAGUCCUGAUCCCCCAUAUCCGCUACACCAUGGAAAUCAACACCCGGGCCCGGACCCAACUCAUCUCAGAUGGAGGAAUUUUUGAUAAGCAGUGAGCACAGGUGGAGGGGGCCAUGUACAG
rnacentral:lncRNA from 1 species